GUGGGAGAGAAAGAAAAGAAAGAAAGAAAGAAAAAGUCGGUGAAGCCAAAAGGGUUUUGGGGUUUUCCCAACUUUUUUGUCUGUUAAGCACAUUCAUGGCUGAACUAAGCACGAGGUCAACCACUAAAGAUUGAUCUUCAUUUUUAUGCCCAAUGGGCAACACGAAGCUUCAUUGAAUUUAGCAUGAAAAUUCACUUGGAAGCAUCCACCCCAUUAAUUUAAAUUUGCUAGUACAGUAGUACUACACACAGGGAGCUCCGCCGAUCUCCAUCCGAUCGGAUCACGGAGGGAGGUUCAAACUUUGGAUUUGGCGUAUCUCAAAAGGAAUGGGUCAAACUUGCAUGGAGAUGCCUCUGACAUCAACCAUGGUUAAAAAGAAGUGUCAAAUCUGACAGUAGAAAAAUGAUAAAAAGGCAUUUAUUUUUUAUCUAACGCCAGAAAAACUUCCCUG